rnacentral:rRNA from 1 species
UACGGAGGAUCCAAGCGUUAUCCGGAAUCAUUGGGUUUAAAGGGUCCGUAGGCGGUUUGGUAAGCCAGUGGUGAAAGCCCAUCGCUCAACGGUGGAACGGCCAUUGAUACUGCCAGACUUGAAUUAUUAGGAAGUAACUAGAAUAUGUAGUGUAGCGGUGAAAUGCUUAGAGAUUACAUGGAAUACCAAUUGCGAAGGCAGGUUACUACUAAUGGAUUGACGCUGAUGGACGAAAGCGUGGGUAGCGAACAGG